GAUGAACGCUGGCGGCGUGCCUAAUACAUGCAAGUCGAGCGAACAGACGAUGAGCGUGCUCCUCUGACGUUAGCGGCGGACGGGUGAGUAACACGUGGAUAACCUACCUAUAAGACUUGGAUAACUUCGGGAAACCGGAGCUAAUACCGGAUAAUAUAUUGAACCGGAUGGUUCAAUAGUUAAUGACGGUUUUGGUGGCACUUAUAGAUGAAUCCGCGCCGCAUUAGCUAGUUGCUAAGGUAACGGCUUACCAAGGCAACGAUGCGUAGCCGACCUGAGAGGGUGAUCGUCCACACGGGAACUGAGACACGGUCCAGACUCCUCCGGGAGGCCGCAGUAGGGAAUCUUCCGCAAUGGGCGAAAGCUUGACGGAGCAAGGCCGAGUGAGUGAUGAAGGUCUUCGGAUCGUAAAACUCUGUUAUUAGGGAAGAACAAAUGUGUAAGUAACUAUGCACGUCUUGACGGUACCUAAUCAGAAAGCCACGGCUAACUACGUG
rnacentral:rRNA from 1 species